CGCCAAUCCCUCCAGCUCCCCAGCUGGGCUGCUUAUAUAAGGCCUCCCUGGAUGCUGAUUGGGACAUGGUUGACGAGGAUCAAUCAGGGGAGACUGAUACCAGCUUCCCCUACUUCCAUACUACCUGUGAAGAGACAAACAAAAGGGGGAGGGGAAGGAGAAACAAACAGCCUGGCAGGCAUGUAAC